GGGCUCGUCGCAGGCCCCACCCUAGCAAAGAAAAAGAAAAGAGACGCUGAGCCUGGCUCCAGAGAGCUCCUCUUCCCGCCCGGGCCCCUCUUUCCUGGCCCAGGGUCCCCCGAGUCCAGGGACGCCGGAGCCUCUGCCCUUCCCCGCCCAGCACCUGGGGCGAGCAAACCCCUUUACCGCCCGUCUGUUCGCCCCACCCUUUGGUGAUUUAGUGCCCGAGCCCCGCCCAAGGCGCUAAUUUAACUCGACGUGCAGCACUUCCAGGCACCGCUGCUACGUACGGCUCGCUCCUGCCUGGGACCAGCUUCGUCUCGCUGCCGAGGCCGCGCAGCCCCUGCGCCGGUCCCCGUCCCCGCGGCCAUGCGACUUGCGCGGCCGAGCGCCCCCGCAGUGUCGCGCCUCCUCGGCGGCCUGACCCUGCUGCUGCUGUGCCCCCCGGCUGCAAGGGGUGACUGCAGCCUUCCCCCAGAUGUACCUAAUGCCCAACCGACUUUGGGAGGUCACACAAGUUUUCCUGAGCAAAGCACGGUAACAUACAAAUGUAAUAAAGGCUUUGUAAAAAUUCCUGGCAAGGCAGAUUCCGCGGUCUGUCUGAGUGACAAUAAGUGGUCACCGGUUGCAGAAUUUUGUAAUCGUAGCUGUGAUGUUCCAACAAGGCUACUUUUUGCGUCUCUCAAAAAGCCUUAUAGCGAACAGAAUUAUUUUCCAGAAGGUUCCACGGUGGAAUAUGAGUGUCGUAUGGGCUACAAAAGGGACCCUUCUCUGUCAGGAAAACUAACUUGCCUUGCAAAUUUUACAUGGUCCAAAGCAGAUGAAUUUUGUAAAAAAAAAUCAUGUCCUAAUCCUGGAGAAAUAAAAGAUGGUCAUGUCAAGAUAACAACCGACAUAUUAUUUGGUGCAUCCAUCUUCUUCUCAUGUAACACAGGGUACAAAUUAGUUGGUGCAAGUUCUAGUUUCUGUUCUCUAGUGGGAAACACUGUUGGGUGGACUGACCCAUUGCCAGAAUGCACAGAAAUAUCCUGUCCAGAACCACCAGAAAUUGACAAUGGAGUAAUUCAAGAGCCACAGAACAUUUAUGUAUAUAGACAGUCUAUAACAUAUAAAUGUGCAAAGGGCUUCACCUUGAUCGGAGAUAAGUCUAUUUCUUGUACUGUGAAAAAUGACCAAGUAGUAUGGAGUGGUCCACCCCCUGAAUGCAAAGGAAGUUCUUUCAUUUCCAAGGUCACACCAGCAGUUCAGAAAACCACUAUAGUAAGUGCUACAGCUACAAAAUCCCCACCAACUCCUCAGAAGCUCACCACACUGAAUGUUCCAGGUACUGAAGCCCCAUCAACUCUUCAGAAACCCACUGCAAUAAAUUCUUCAGCUACAAACACCCCGCUAACUCCUCAGAAACCCACCACUGUAAAUGUUUCAGCUGCAGAAACCCCAUCAGCUCCUCACAAACCCACCUCUAUAAAUUCUUCAGCUACAAAGGUCCCACUAACUCCUCAGAAACUCACCACUGUAAAUGUUCCAGCUACAGAAACCCCAUCAACUCCUCACAAACCCACUACAAUAAAUUCUUCAGCUACAAAGUUGCCACUAAUUCCUCAGGAACCUACCACUAUAAAUGUUCUAGCUACAGAAACCCCAUCAGCUCCUCACAAACCCACCUCAAUAUAUUCUUCAGCUACAAAGGUCCCACUAACUCCUCAGAAACCCAUCACUGUGAAUGUUCUGGCUACAGAAACCCCAUCAGCUCCUCACAAACCCACCUCAAUAAAUUCUUCAGCUACAAAGCUGCCACUAAUUGCUCAGAAACCCACCGCUGUGAAUGUUCCAGCUGCAGAAACCCCUUCAGCUCCUCAGAAACCCACUACAGCAAAUGGUUCAUCCACAACAGCCAAAAAAUCCCCCAUCUCAAACACUGUAUCUACAGAGACCCCACAAGCAUCCCAGAACCCCAUCAAGGCAAAUUCUUCUGCUACACAGGCCACACGAACAACCCAGAGAGUCACCACAGCAAAAGCUUCAUUUACACAGAGUCUUCCAGGAACACAAAAGUCCACUGCUGUACAUGUCCCUGUGACUAAGCGUCUCCACACAACACAAAGAUUGACCUCUGCUCAUAUUGCAGCGACACAGAGACCAGCUGUUUCCAGGACAACCACACGUUUCCAUGCAACAAGCACUUCUAAAGGAAGAGGAACCACUCCUUCAGGUGCUACCAUCAUUACAUUUGGAUUUGUUGCUGGUACUUUAAUAAUUGGUAGCCUAAUCCUAAUCAAAAUUAUCUGGGACUAUGGAAAAUCAGGCUCUUACUACACACAUGAGAACAACAAAGCUCUCAAUGUUCUGUUCAUAAUUUAACUGUGACUGGUGAUGCCUCAGAAGUAAGACCACCUAAUAAAUUAUAAAAGGGCACACAUGUACAAUAUUGACAGUUUUGCUUGUGAUGCUAGUAAACCUUGGCUAGCUGACUUAGCCAAAGAAGAGUUAAGAAGAAAGUGCACACAAGUACACAGAAUAUUUCUAGUUUCUUAGAACUUUCUGGAGAAGUGGACACAAUAUAUCCAAUAGUGCUCUUGGUUUUGCUGUGAUCAUUGUCUUCUUUAAGGUGUGUGGUGCAUAGGAAUGCCAGCCAAACAAGGAGAAAGGAUUUGUCCUGGAAACACAUUCUCAAUGUUUCUCAGCCUCUUGAAAAUAGAACAGCUCACGAGACUGAGAGCGAUCCCUUUCCUAAAAGUGUAACGGAGUGUAGACAUUUGUUCAUGCUUAGAAUAUGAGCAUGAAGAAAAGGGAAUGAGUGACAUUUUUUCACUAGAUGUGUAAUGCUAUUUUUACUUACGAAGAAAAUAAAAAAUUCAAAACGUUACUUGGAUAUUGAAAACUAAGCUAAAACUAAAACCAGUCUCUUCCGAGCAAAGCUGCCAAAGAGAGAUGAACCUCAUUAUAAAAUAAUCCCUCCUGACUGUAAGGCAUUUUCAUCUUUCCUUACUCCAUUAAAAUGAGUCCAAAUGGGUUGGCAAAAUAUUUUAAAGGAAAAACAUGCUAAUGACUCAAGAGUGUUGAGUUUCUUGGGUUUAGUUGGUGGCAAAGAAGGAGUAGAGUAUAUAGGAUUAUUUUUUUUCUUUGUCACACAGCACAAAUAAUGAAUAAAGCCCCUUACUUGUAAGAUGGAUCAGCUGCGAUUUUGUUCUUAGGACAGCCUUAAAAAAAACAGAUAAGAAAACCCAGUGAAAAGUGUCUUCAUUGACUUACUGUCUUUGGAAGUAUCCAGAGAUAAUACAAUAUUAACAUAAGGAAGGAUACUAUAUUUCUGAGAUGUUCAUAGCCAAAUUGUAAAUCUUUUCUUUUGUAAUAUUAAGAUUAAUUUAUUUGUAUUUAUUUAUGUCAGUGAACACAUUGAUUUCACAUGUAUAGUAAGAAACGUUCAAGAAGAGAUGUAAAGAAAAUCUUAUUUUCCCUAAUAGAAAUAAAUGAUCACAUUUUUGUCUCAUGCA